GUAACGGCGAGUGAAGCGGCAACAGCUCAAAUUUGAAAUCUGGCCCUAGGCCCGAGUUGUAAUUUGCAGAGGAUGCUUUUGGUUAGGCCCCUACCGAGUCCCCUGGAAUGGGGCGCCACAGAGGGUGAGAGCCCCGUAUGGUUGGACGCCGAGCCUUUGUAAAGCUCCUUCGACGAGUCGAGUAGUUUGGGAAUGCUGCUCUAAAUGGGAGGUAAAUUUCUUCUAAAGCUAAAUAUUGGCCAGAGACCGAUAGCGCACAAGUAGAGUGAUCGAAAGAUGAAAAGCACUUUGAAAAGAGGGUUAAAAAGUACGUGAAAUUGUUGAAAGGGAAGCGCUUGUGACCAGACUUGCGCCGGGCGGAUCAUCCAGCGUUCUCGCUGGUGCACUCCGCCCGGCUCAGGCCAGCAUCGGUUUUCGUCGGGGGACAAAGGCUUCGGGAACGUGGCCCUCUUCGGAGGGUGUUAUAGCCCGUUGCGUAAUACCCCGGCGGGGACCGACGACCGCGCUUCGGCAAGGAUGCUGGCGUAAUGGUCAUCAGCGACCCGUCUUGAAACACGGACCGAGGAGUCAAGCAUUAGUGCGAGUGUUUGGGUGUAAAACCCGCACGCGUAAUGAAAGUGAACGUAGGUGAGAGCUUCGGCGCAUCAUCGACCGAUCCUGACGUUUUCAGAUGGAUUUGAGUAGGAGCAUUAACGCUUGGACCCGAAAGAUGGUGAACUAUACUUGAAUAGGGUGAAGCCAGAGGAAACUCUGGUGGAGGCUCGCAGCGGUUCUGACGUGCAAAUCGAUCGUCAAAUUUGAGUAUAGGGGCGAAAGACUAAUCGAACCAUCUAGUAGCUGGUUUCAGCCGAA
rnacentral:rRNA from 1 species